GACGAACGCUGGCGGCGUGCUUAACACAUGCAAGUCGAACGGUAAGGCCCUUCGGGGUACACGAGUGGCGAACGGGUGAGUAACACGUGGGUGAUCUGCCCUGCACUUCGGGAUAAGCGUGGGAAACUGGGUCUAAUACCGGAUAGGACCACUGCCUGCAUGGGUGGGGGUGGAAAGCUUUUGCGGUGUGGGAGGGGCCCGCGGCCUAUCAGCUUGUUGGUGGGGUGAUGGCCUACCAAGGCGACGACGGGUAGCCGGCCUGAGAGGGUGACCGGCCACACUGGGACUGAGAUACGGCCCAGACUCCUACGGGAGGCAGCAGUGGGGAAUAUUGCACAAUGGGCGCAAGCCUGAUGCAGCGACGCCGCGUGAGGGAUGACGGCCUUCGGGUUGUAAACCUCUUUCAGCACCGACGAAGCGCAAGUGACGGUAGGUGCAGAAGAAGGACCGGCCAACUACGUGCCAGCCGCCGCCGUAA
rnacentral:rRNA from 1 species